GGGUGCGAUAAUACCAGUGUUAAUGCAUCGAAUCCCAUCAAAACUUCACAGUUAGGCGUGCUUGGGAUAGAGUAGUACUGGUAUGGGUGACCUCCUAG
rnacentral:rRNA from 1 species